rnacentral:rRNA from 1 species
UGGGGAAUUUUGCACAAUGGGGGAAACCCUGAUGCAGCGACGCCGCGUGAUUUAGAAGGCCUUCGGGUUGUAAAAAUCUUUUUUACGGGAUGAAAAUGACAGUACCGUAAGAAUAAGGUCCGGCUAAAUACGUGCCAGCGGCCGCGGUAAUACGUAUGGACCGAGCGUUGUCCGGAAUCAUUGGGCGUAAAGGGUACGUAGGCGGCCUAGUAAGUUAGAAGUGAAAUAAUAUAGCUCAACUAUAUAAAGCUUUUAAAACUGCUAGGCUUGAGAGAUGGAAGGGAAAGUGGAAUUCCUAGUGUAGCGGUGAAAUGCGCAGAUAUUAGGAAGAAUACCGGUGGCGAAGGCGACUUUCUGGUCAUCAUCUGACGCUGAGGUACGAAAGCGUGGGUAGCAAACAGG